CGUCAAAUCAUCAUGCCCCUUAUGUCCUGGGCUACACACGUGCUACAAUGGCCGGUACAGAGGGAAGCGAAGCGGUGACGCUGAGCGGAUCCCGGAAAGCCGGUCUCAGUUCGGAUUGCAGGCUGCAACUCGCCUGCAUGAAGUCGGAAUCGCUAGUAAUCGCGGGUCAGCAUACCGCGGUGAAUACGUUCCCGGGCCUU
rnacentral:rRNA from 1 species